rnacentral:rRNA from 1 species
GGUGAACGCUGGCGGCAUGCCUAAUACAUGCAAGUCGAGCGGCCGCACGGUAAGCGUUCGCUUCUGCGGUUAGCGGCUGGCGGGUGGGUAACACAUAGAUCGCCAACCUAUAAUACUGGGAUGACUUCGUGGAACCACAUCUGAUACCAGCGAAUAUGUUCAACCGCAUGGUUCAAGAGUGCAACGCACUUUUCCUGUCUCUUAUAGAUGGUUCCGUGCCGGAUUAGCUAGUUGGUAAGGUAACGGCUUACCAAGGCAACGAUGCGUAGCCGACCUGAGAGGGUGAUCGGCCACACUGGAACUGAGACACGGUCCAGACUCCUACGGGAGGCAGCAGUAGGGAAUAUUCGGCAAUGGGCGAAAGCCUGACGGAGCAAUACCGCGUGAGUGAAGAAGGUCUUCGGAUCGUAAAACCCUGUUAUUAGGGAAGAAAAGAUGUGGAAGUAACUGUGCCUGUCCUGACGGUACCCAAAGAGUAAGCAACGGCUAACUUCGUG